rnacentral:rRNA from 1 species
AACGAACGCUGGCGGCAGGCCUAACACAUGCAAGUCGAACGAGAAGCGUGCCUUCGGGUGCGUGGAAAGUGGCAGACGGGUGAGUAACGCGUGGGAACGUACCCUUUGGUUCGGAACAACUCCGGGAAACUGGAGCUAAUACCGGAUGUGCCCUUCGGGGGAAAGAUUUAUCGCCAAGGGAUCGGCCCGCGUCGGAUUAGCUUGUUGGUGGGGUAACGGCCUACCAAGGCUAUGAUCCGUAGCUGGUCUGAGAGGAUGAUCAGCCACACUGGGACUGAGACACGGCCCAGACUCCUACGGGAGGCAGCAGUGGGGAAUAUUGGACAAUGGGCGCAAGCCUGAUCCAGCCAUGCCGCGUGAGUGAUGAAGGCCUUAGGGUUGUAAAGCUCUUUCGCCAGGGACGAUAAUGACGGUACCUGGAUAAGAAGCCCCGGCUAACUUCGUG